GUGUUUGAAAAGAGUAUGGAGAGCAUCUGCACCUCCAACAGCACCUGGAGCAACUGCAAGCAAGCAGGCUUAGCUGUGAAGGAAGGGAGCAGGCACGACACAACAGUGACACUGCUUGGCAGCAAGGAACAGAGAGGAGCUGAACCAGGACCCUCCGAAUGACAGCUGUGCUGACAAGCAGUCCUUGGAAGUGUGCGAGGAAAUGAUACGUGCCUGGCAGUCUUGCUGCUGCUCCUCCACUGCUGUGCCCUCUGUGCUGAAGGUGACACACACAGACCUUUCUUUCCACCCAUUCUCAAUUUUUUCUCCUCUUUCUCUCAUUUUUUCCUUUCCAAUGUGUUUGUAUUUCUGUCUUGGCUUGAAUACUCUAACAGGGGGCUGUGAAUUUGAAAAAAUUACCACUGGAAAUCAAUGAAAUUCCUUUUUAUUUUACUUCCCUGGAGCAAUCGUUAGCUCAUUAGUUUUCCCCCCAAAUCAGGUGGGCCAGGCUUAAUGCACCUGCUCUUAGGCAGAAUGGUGUAGUUAACCCAAGCUGCUUGCUUCCUAAGGAAAGACAGUUGUGAGCAGUUAAAUGAGUCAUAAGGCAGACUCAAGGCAAUAGCUCUGCUUCCUUUGUUAAAGUACUGGUGCUUUCAGUUGCUGUAGCCUGUGGCUCAGCAGAGAAAGUAACUGCAGGAUGAUAGUACUGAGCAGGUAGGGGAUCUCUGAGGAAUGGAGCGCAGACUGAACUGCUGCAAAAAUUAGAUCAUAAUGAAAUCCUAAGCAGGCAGAGAACCUCCUAAAAACCAGCAUCCAUUGUCCCUGAGGCCCUGAGCUCUGACAGGUGGUGGAUUGCCUUUCUGCUGGUGUUCAGAUGCCUGCAGUGCAGGAACCAGGUGAGUCACUGUGUGGAAAUAGAUGGUUUGGGAACAGUAGUUCCUCACCCUCACCUCUCGUCUGUAUGCGUGGAAGGAUGUGUAGUCUGGGGAGAAAUGGAAAGAAGAAAAUAGAGUUCUCCCUCUCUUCUCUCCUCCUCUGAUCUGAAAUGAAGUUCAGUAUUUCAGUCUGAAUAUAACUACAGUUACAAAUGUUCAAAUUUUCAUGUUUUUCUCACUUUGCCUUUUUAAGAUGUUAGGGCUAAUUGUGUCUCUGUCUUAACUGUAACAUCCAAAGCCAUUGAGCAGUUUGUUAAAAUCCACGGUGUUCAUUCAGAUGGGAUACCCAUUUUUAUUCUCUUCCAGAUGAAGUCAUAGCUCAAAUCUUUGAAGUGUUCCUUUUAGUAGACUUUAGAAAGUUUAAAUUUUUGUCAUUAAAAAGAAAUUAAAAAUAAAUAUUAUAAAAUUAAAUAUCCUAAUAUUUUGGAGGAAGAAACAGCCAAACUCAUUUCCUGGCAAGAGCUGCGUUUGUAGAUUUUCUAGGUCUUGUCGAGGGCUGCAAAUCUGAAUACAUGAAGUCAAGAGGACUGUGCUGAUUUGUGCUUCCUGAGAACGCAAUUGCUGGGCGACUUUUGCCAGUGUCCUUCCGUGUGCAAGGAUAUGAUGGUUUAAGGACAUCUAAAAUGCUAUCCCCGUGCUAACCCUGUGCCAGGAUUCUACAUGCUUUCGGUGGUGCAGUUCUCUGAACAUUCAGUUCCUGUUUCUGCCAGCCAGCUGAUGAUUGCCAUAGCACUUCUGGUGUAAAAUUUCAAAACAAAUAUGAGGUAGCCCUGGCCAGUUCCUUGUAGUGAUCCAGGCAGCUCUGUCCUCGUCCAAACUGGUUGCUGAGGCACAACCAGUUGCUUUGAGGGCACAGCCUAUCAACGUGAUGAGCUCCUUCCUGCAGUCCUGCUAUAUACAGCUUCCUCUUCCUUUCUAGAUUGGACGAUUUGCGGUCUCUAAGCCAGAAAUCCUCUACAGAUCUGAAUUUAUCAAACAGAGCCAGUUACUACUCCUGGGUGUUAAGAGCCCUGCAUAGCCAUCUGGGAGGGGGGGGGGGGGUUGAUCCAUGAAAAGCUCUUGCAGAAAGAAUCCUUAUUAUCAGCUUCCCCGUAUGUCCACUUUCUAGCUUUGUGCUGGGCUGCGGACUUGCAUAAAAAAUUAAAGCUGAGUAUUUCUAAGCUUGGCUGUAUUCUUUUAAUAGUAAAGAAGGCAUUCUGCUCCAGCCUGGGGCUACCAGAGAUGGAAUACAGCCUGCUGAUCCCAGCCUUGCAACUCUGGAUGUUACGUACUUCAGACUGAUUAUGGUUUCAGUAGAAACCACACAGAGUGCAGGUAAUUGGAAACAGCAUCUGGCACAGGGGUCUUCCAGAGCUUUGCACUGGGCUUUGACUUUGUAAAUAGAAAAGGGUUGUGGUUCUCUCAGUAAAUUUCAUAAAGGAAACAGAGAUCUUAUUGUUUCCUCUCUCCCCACAUAGUUUGCCUUGUUUUUGUUUUGUUUUGGUGGUGUUGUUCUUUCUCUUUGAUCUGAGAAAACUACAGGACAGCUCCUUUAAUUAAGAGGCAGUAGGCAAAAGUUUGCCUGCAAUUUGUCUACCAAGCAGUGUUUAUGGUGACAAACAGAGCUAAGCCUAAAGGUUGUCUUUCUCUACAUCUGUAUUUGGAAAAACAUGACACUUUCCUUAUGACCUUUUUAAGGUUAUAAUAUUCCUUGUUUAAGGCAUAUCUUUUUCUUCUUUUUAUUUCUUUCUUUCCCUCAAGGGUAUGUGCCUAGGCAGACUAUAUACAAAAGACACUUUUCUUUCUCUUGUAUUCACUAGUAUUUUUAUGGGCAUGGCACCAAUGGUAAUUACAGCAUUAUAUGCAAGAGCCGUAGGCUUCCCUUCUAUGUCUGUUGUUAGGUAACUGGGAUUUCAGUCAUUUCCUUAGACUGUAUUUCUUCUCGCUCUUGCACAGUUCUUCCCCUUUCUGCCUCUACCCAACUCCUUUUACUGCUUAUAAAGCACCAGAUGUAAGCAUAGUUGUAAACAACCACGUUUUCAGAAGAAAUUAUUUCUGGUGCUUUAUUUUACAGUAUUCACAUGGCCAACUUCCCCGUUAAAGAAAGGAUUGUUUGAUUCACCAUGCACAGUACGACUGGUCAAAAUUAUCUGUGGCUGAACUCCUCCUCACUCAGCAUCUCCUAGGUGACGGUGACUGCACGUACUCCAACGUAUUUUAAAAUAAAAUAUCCCAUGGUUACAAUUACCAGUUGAAUUAUGAGGAUAAUGGCAGUGUUUGGUAUCUCACAUAAAGAACUCCAGGAGGCCACUUGGAUUGUAAAUACUGUGCUUGUUAAUCCAAAUCAAAAAAAACCCACAUGGGACAGAAUUUAAAGUGCUGUAUGCAAUAUUUUCAUUUCUCUUGUCUAUCUGAACAGUACAAACAUCAAUGGAGCUGGUUUGGAGUUAAGAGAAAAGGGAAAAAACAUUCAAAAAUAUCCCAGAAUAAGAAAAAAAUAGCAUUUGGAGUCUUUUGAUGGAUCUUCCCAGGACUGCUGAAAAAUCAGGAUCUUCUAGAAUUGUAUUACUCAUUACAGGAAGAACAGAAGUAUUGCCUUACCGCUAGUAGUGGGCAUAUAAAUCUGAGGCAAGCACUCAUAAACGAAAAGGCAGCUGGGAUGUGCAUAAACGUGAGCCCGUGGGUUUGGUGACACGUAGCGAAGUGGUGCUUACAGUACAGGAGUACUGGGACAAGUGGGAGGAAUAAUGAUCUCCUGCUGCUGCUGCUGAGACAUAGCUGGAGCAUGAGCAUGGAGGAGGGAUAAGAGAUGUGUUCAGACAGAAGGCCUGCUCCUUCACCCAGCCCUCAGCUUCCUUUACCAGCUCUGCAAACUGGUACUCUGCUAACUAACUGCCAUGUAAACAAAGCAGAGGCUUGCAUGUGGCAGAUGAGAUGUUUGCAGUGCACUUCGGAGCUGUGCUUGGCUCCUGCCCAGGCGCCUCCUCUGGGUCACGUAUCUGUGGUUGCUUAUUGCACUUCCCUUAAAUCAUGCUCUACAUCACUAGAACAUGCACCAUUUGUAUUUUGUGGUUUCCAAUCAGGAUAAGGAGGAAUGACAAAAACACUUGCAAAAACAAUUGGUUCAUUUUUAAACAUUUUGAAGAGUACUCAGCACUUCUGAUGCUGCACCUCAAGUACUGUACUCUGUUUUGGGCCCCUCACAGCAAGAAAGACACUGAGGCCCCGGAGUGUGUCCAGAGGUCCGGAGAUGGACAAUGAAGCUGGUGAGGAGUCUGGAGCACAAGUCUUAUGAGGAACAGCUGAGGGAACUGGGAUUAUUUGGUCUGUGAGAGGCUCAGGAAAGACCUUAUUGCUCUUUACAACUACCUGGAAGGAGGUGGUGCAGAGGUGGAAGUUGGCCACUUCUCCCGUGUAACUAGUUGUAGGACAAGAGGGAAUGGCCUCAAGUUGCACUAGAGGAGAAUGGACAUUAGGGAAAAAUAAUUUCUCCAAAAGAGCAGUCAGGUGCUGGAAUGGGCUGCCCAGGGAGAUGGUGAAGUCUCUGUCCCUGGAGGCAUUCAAGAAGCAUGUAGGUGUUAUACUGAGGGACAUGGUUUAGUGGGAAGUAUUGGUGGCAGGUGGACGGUUGGACUGGAUGAUCUUAUAUGUCUUUUCCAACCUUGGUGAUUCUGUGAUUCUAGGAUUCCAGAGGAGGGCCACAAAAAUGGUCCAAAGCAUGGAACGCUUCCCUACAAGGACAGGCUGAGAGAGCUGGGGCUGUUCAGCCUGGAGAAGAGAAGGCUUUGGGGAGACCUGAGAGUGGCCUUUCGGUAUCUAAAAGGUGGCUGUUAGAAAGAAGGGGACAGACUCUUCUGCAGGUUCUAUUGUGAUAGGACAAGGGGAAAUGGUUUCAAACUAAAUUAAGGGAGAUUUAAACUGGAUAUAAGGAAGAAGUUUUUUUUAUGAUGACGAGUGAAAGUGGUUAGACACUAGAACAGGUUGCCUGGAGAGGUGGUGGAAGCCUCAUCUCUGGGGGUGCUCAAGGUCAGGC